rnacentral:tRNA from 1 species
GAAAUAUCCGAAAAGUAAGCUUCUAACUUAACUUUAAAGCAUAAAUGUUUGUAUUUCU